rnacentral:rRNA from 1 species
UACGUAGGGGGCUAGCGUUGUCCGGAUUUAUUGGGCGUAAAGAGCGUGUAGGCGGCCAGGUAGGUCUGCUGUGAAAACUCGAGGCUCAACCUCGAGAUGUCGGCGGAAACCAUCUGGCUAGAGUCCGGAAGAGGAGAGUGGAAUUCCUGGUGUAGCGGUGAAAUUCGUAGAUAUCGAGAAGAACACCGGUGGCGAAGGCGGCCAUCUGGACGGUGACUGACGCUGAGACGCGAAAGCGUGGGGAGCAAACAGG